rnacentral:rRNA from 1 species
ACUCAAAGGAAUUGACGGGGGCCCGCACAAGCGGUGGAUUAUGUGGUUUAAUUCGAUGAUACGCGAGGAACCUUACCAAGGCUUAAAUGGGAAUUGACAGGUUUAGAAAUAGACUUUUCUUCGGACAAUUUUCAAGGUGCUGCAUGGUUGUCGUCAGCUCGUGCCGUGAGGUGUUAGGUUAAGUCCUGCAACGAGCGCAACCCCUGUCACUAGUUGCCAUCAUUCAGUUGGGGACUCUAGUGAGACUGCCUACGCAAGUAGAGAGGAAGGUGGGGAUGACGUCAAAUCAUCACGGCCCUUACGCCUUGGGCCACACACGUAAUACAAUGGCCGGUACAGAGGGCAGCUACCUAGCGAUAGGAUGCGAAUCUCGAAAGCCGGUCUCAGUUCGGAUUGGAGUCUGCAACUCGACUCUAUGAAGCUGGAAUCGCUAGUAAUCGCGCAUCAGCCAUGGCGCGGUGAAUACGUUCCCGGGCCUUGUACACACCGCCCGU